GUGGUUAGAUCAAAGGAAAAUUCUUCAUCUGGCACUAAGAGUCUUUAGCACCUCCUGACACUUCUAAGCUCCCUUUUGAACAAAGAGAGAGAGGCCUCAGGCUUGAAGCCAUCAGCAGGCAGCAGUAUCUGGCUGGAAUUUAGCAAUGCUCGUUUGUGGUCAAGUGCUUAGGAGCUGGGGCUAAGGCAACUUUUGUCAUCAAAAAGAAGGCCCAGAUCUUGGAGAGAAGCAGAGCAUCCUGAGUGUCUGCCAAGCGCCAACUUUGCAGCCACAGGUUCAAGUUCUUCCCUAAUCCCGGCAGAUCUGCCUUCUUGGUCCUAUUGGUCUCCAUGUGUGGUUGGCGCGAUCUCUGGGCUUUGCUGAUGUGAAGCCAUGGGGAGGUGGAGUUUUAAGAGCGGUGUUCUCAGCGGGAAGAGCUCUUUCUUUCUCAAACAUUUCGGUAAUCUCAUCCCAACCUGGCAUAGAACCUCACCCUUCCUGGGGACACAGGAAUAUUUGCUACUUUACAUCAAUAAAAUCCAACUCCUUAGUGUCUCUCCUGGGGUCCAUUCAUAGGGUGGGGUUCCUCUUUCGGGUCCCCCAUUCAAGGCUGCUCGGUCCCUGCAGGUCUUCGUUCUGUUUCUCUAACUUGAGCCAAGCUCCCUCAAACACUAGUUUCAAAGAGCCUUUGUUACAAAGGCGGGUGCUAGGGCCCCAAAUCCAAAGGCUCUGACUCAGUAGGUCCAGGGUGGGAUUCCAGGACCACGAUACAAGUGGUCUGGGCACCACAUUUGGCCAAAUGUUGUGAGAUCCUCAUCCAAGGCAUGUAUUGAAGGAGGGCUCUAAGGAGAAGCUGGAAAGGCAGUGAGGGCAGAAAGGGGCUGGGCAAGGAUUGGUCUUAGCUGGAGUCUAGCACAGUCCCAUGGGGAGCCCUGGAACAGGAAUGACGCCACAGAGUUGAAACCAUGUUAGCUGCGAGGCAAAGCAUUCAAACCCCAUGCCAGUCAGUACAAUGCCUGUGGGGUGGGCAAGGAGGACCUUCUCAGUCACGGACACUUUUCCAGAGAAGGCGACAGCAGUGAGUGUUUAGAAGCAUCCAUGCUUUGGUAAACCAGCUCUCAGGGGUCGCAGGAGGAAGAGUGCUGAUUUAUAGCUUUUGCCAAUGUCUGUGGUGUCAAUACAUUCUCUAUGCUAAUUGCAAAGCUACCAAUGGUUUAACAAUGGGCUUACAUAUUUCCUGAAUAUUUAACAAUGAGUUCUCUCAGGCCAGGAGGAGCUGGCUCCAGCACACUCUACACUAGCAGUCAACUCUCAAGACAGCUGGAGGAAGCGAAGGUUCCUGGGAAGGAGACUGUGGCAGGGCCCAAAUUGCCUCUUGGGCCUGGAUGAUGGCAGGUGCUUUCUAACCAAGAUUCCUGCUUCCUCUCUCACCCAUUGUCUUUCCUUGCUCCGUGAGCAAGAGCAUCUUUUGCAGACAUGGAUCCAACGUGCUGCCCCUGGAUUAAAACCCUUCACAGGCUCUCCAUCACCUUUGGGGUAAAGUCCCCCUCCUCACUUUGGCCCUCAAAGCCCCGUCCCUUGGGCCCCUGUCGACCACCUCUUUCCACUCGCUUUCUCGUGGACUUUCUGCUCCAACCACCCUGACUCUUCUCCCGUCCUUGAAGUUUUGAUCUCUCUCAUGACCAGACGUCUAGGCCACUUCACAUGCAGCCCUUUUGGCCAGAGACACAAUGGUGGCCCCUGCCCCAUCCGCUCAGCCCACCUCGCUUCAACACAGCAUUGGUGGAACGUCUACUUUGCAUCUGUCUCAUUUGUGAGCAGGGCAUUCGGGACUAGCUAUGUGAGUUUGGGCUGCUGCACCCCACUUCUUGGCUAAGUUUGCAGUCUGUCUUCCACCCUGGACUGGCUACUCCUUGAAGGUAAAGACUUUGUGUGGCUUCAUUACUCCUCAAAAGCCAACACCUAGUACAGGGCUUUAUUAUGGAGAAAUGAACAAAUUGAUCAGUCUAUCAAAUGAAUAAUGAAUGUCUGAGUGGUCAAGGCUGCUGCCUGGUAACAAAUGUCUCCAAGAAGAGCCCCUCAGAAGAGUCUCCCUGUGCCCUGCAGCCUCACCCCAAUGACUUGAGAGUGAAGUCAUGGUACUAAGAGCUGGUCCAGGCUCAGCCCCAAGUGUGCCAGCUGCUUCUUAGACGUGGCUCCAUUUACUCCUCACCGCAGACCU
rnacentral:lncRNA from 10 species